ensembl:lncRNA
CACAGACGACCGGUGCAAGGAGUGACGGAGUUGAAGGAGAAGGAGGCCGAAGAGGAGGAGGGAGGGAGUGAGUCAGCGGCGGGCGGGGUCGGUGACAUUCUGCAUCCUUUCCCGGUUGUCUUCGGGUCACUGGCGGAGCUAUGAAAAGUUGAGGUGAGAGCAAAGGGGUGACACCAGGCGAAGAGGAAGAAACGCAAAAGAAACGAAGAAGGAUUUUUUGCAUUUCUUCACCCGUCCGAAGACGUCCCACCAGCCGCCGGGAGCUCUGGGUAAAUUUUUCGACUAGCCCCGGUCCCGUCUCAAUCCUCCCCCAGCCCCCCCCCAAACCCUCCUCCCCCCCACCACCACCACCACCCCAUCUCCUCUCCC